UGUUCUGAAAUCAAGUGGGAUUACCCGCUGAACUUAAGCAUAUCAAUAAGCGGAGGA
rnacentral:rRNA from 1 species